rnacentral:rRNA from 1 species
UACGUAGGGCGCAAGCGUUGUCCGGAAUUAUUGGGCGUAAAGAGCUCGUAGGCGGCCUGUCGCGUCCGCUGUGAAAUCCCGGGGCUUAACCCCGGGCGUGCAGUGGAUACGGGCUGGCUAGAGGCAGGCAGGGGAGAACGGAAUUCCCGGUGUAGCGGUGAAAUGCGCAGAUAUCAGGAGGAACACCGGUGGCGAAGGCGGGUCUCUGGGCCGAUACUGACGCUGAGGAGCGAAAGCGUGGGGAGCGAACAGG